UAUAUUUAUAAUUUAUUCUUAUAAAAGGUUAAUUACACUUUACUCCCUCCAACUAUCACCCAAUCCACAAUGUGCCCCUGAAACUAUUGAUUGCAUCAAAGUGGACCCUCUUACUUUUUAAAACGUCACAAUCCCCCCCUUCUAUCUAC